rnacentral:rRNA from 1 species
AAUGAACGCUGGCGGCGUGCCUAAUACAUGCAGGUCGAGCGAAUGGAUUAAGAGCUUGCUCUUAUGAAGUUAGCGGCGGACGGGUGAGUAACACGUGGGUAACCUGCCCAUAAGACUGGGAUAACUCCGGGAAACCGGGGCUAAUACCGGAUAAUAUUUUGAACUGCAUGGUUCAAAAUUGAAAGGCGGCUUCGGCUGUCACUUAUGGAUGGACCCGCGUCGCAUUAGCUAGUUGGUGAGGUAACGGCUCACCAAGGCAACGAUGCGUAGCCGACCUGAGAGGGUGAUCGGCCACACUGGGACUGAGACACGGCCCAGACUCCUACGGGAGGCAGCAGUAGGGAAUCUUCCGCAAUGGACGAAAGUCUGACGGAGCAACGCCGCGUGAGUGAUGAAGGCUUUCGGGUCGUAAAACUCUGUUGUUAGGGAAGAACAAGUGCUAGUUGAAUAAGCUGGCACCUUGACGGUACCUAACCAGAAAGCCACGGCUAACUACGUGCCAGCCGCCGUAAAAC